UCUCAAGUUACCAAUGCUGAUGCCUCCAAUUAUUGCUUCAAACUCCAUAAUAUCUCGAUUCUCGUUGAAAUAGACUGUUUUUACCAUCUAAAUUAGAGUGAAACAAACGUUAGUAAAUUUAAAUUUCUUUAGUAUCAACGAGGCAAAUCAUAACAGGAAUCACACAGGAUCAAGGAAUACAAAAAUGAAUUUAAAAAGGGACCUUUUCUAAUGCAAUUCUGGCUGCUUUUCUUUCCCUCUCACGUUGCAUCUUCAACUCUGUCUCUAACCUCAUUCGGGAGGCUGCUACAGCAGUUGCAAUCCUAGCCUUCUCUGCAGAAGGUCAAACAUCCAGUGUAAACAAAAUAUUCCCAAAUGAAGAGAAAUACUAAUGAAAUACUUAUACCGUAAAAGAACAGAAUGACAAUCAGAUAU
rnacentral:lncRNA from 1 species